UGUGGUGGUCAUAGCGGUAGGGAAACGCCCGGUAUCCAUUCCGAACCCGGAAGCUAAGACUACCAGCGCUGAUGGUACUGCACUCCAACGGGUGUGGGAGACUAAGACACCGCCACAC
rnacentral:rRNA from 2 species